CAAAAGGUUUUAUUAAAAACCAAACCAAACUAAGCCUAAUGAUAUAU
rfam:Piromyces finnis strain finn BCR36scaffold_8, whole genome shotgun sequence.